rnacentral:rRNA from 1 species
UACGAAGGGGGCUAGCGUUGUUCGGAAUCACUGGGCGUAAAGCGCACGUAGGCGGACUUCUAAGUCAGGGGUGAAAUCCCAGAGCUCAACUCUGGAACUGCCUUUGAUACUGUCGAUCUGGAGUAUGGAAGAGGUGAGUGGAAUUCCGAGUGUAGAGGUGAAAUUCGUAGAUAUUCGGAGGAACACCAGUGGCGAAGGCGGCUCACUGGUCCAUUACUGACGCUGAGGUGCGAAAGCGUGGGGAGCAAACAGG